CUGGUAUUUAUCCCAGCCGUGUCUUCUCCCCUCUGGUCUCCUCCACCGCGCCGGCCUCUCCUGCGAGCAGCUCCUCCAGGGAGCUUCCUUCUCCCUCAACUCCCGCGGCUGUCCCUCUCCAAGCUCCCUCCCCCAGUUCCUCUGCGUGGUACUCCUUGUUCCGAGCUCACCGUGAAGCUCCACUGCUGGCGCGCCAGCGCUCUUCCUUCCCUGCGACCUGGACCUUCCCAGCUCGGCCUCUAGCUGCUGCGCGCGCUCUGCCUCCAUGGCCGCGCCCGCUGUCGCGCCCGGCCAGGCUCCUCUACACGCGCCGGAGCUUCCUCUACUCGGUCCCCUGUCGGCCUGCUCCAUCUUCCUGGCGGCGCUCAGCUCUGUCCUUUCUCCCUCUGUUCGCCCACGCGCAGGCAUGCUUCGCCGAGCUCGCCCCUGCACGUCCUGCUCUCCCCAGCUCCGCUCUGGUCGUGCGCGCUCCUCUGCUCGCCGAGGCCCCUUCUCUGUGCACUCUCCGGCCAGCCGAGGUCUCGCCAGCCACAGUUCCGCUCAAAGUUCUCUGCUCAGUUCCCUUGCGUGUGCCCUGGUGGCUGCGCGUGCUAUCCCCUGCCGAGCUCGGUACUGUCUAUCUCG
rnacentral:misc_RNA from 1 species